rnacentral:rRNA from 1 species
UACGUAGGGUGCAAGCGUUAUCCGGAAUUAUUGGGCGUAAAGAGCUCGUAGGCGGUCUGUCGCGUCUGCUGUGAAAACCCGAGGCUCAACCUCGGGCCUGCAGUGGGUACGGGCAGACUAGAGUGCGGUAGGGGAGAUUGGAAUUCCUGGUGUAGCGGUGGAAUGCGCAGAUAUCAGGAGGAACACCGAUGGCGAAGGCAGAUCUCUGGGCCGUAACUGACGCUGAGGAGCGAAAAGCGUGGGGAGCGAACAGG